ensembl:lncRNA
CUGAGGCACCCAGGAUCCCAGACCGUCCGGUGAGGGGCACCCAGGAUCCCAGACCAUCUGGUGAGGGGCACCCAGGAUCCCAGACCAUCCGGUGAGGCACCCAGGAUCCCAGACCGUUCGAUGAGGGGCACCCAGGAUCCCAGACCAUCCGUUGAGGCACCCAGGAUCCCGGACCGUCCGCAAGCACCCAGGAUCCCAGACCGUUCGGUGAGGGGCACCCAGGAUCCCAGACCGUUCGGUGAGGCACCCAGGAUCCCAGACCGUCCGGUGAGGCACCCAGACCGUCUGGUGAGGGGCACCCAGGAUCCCGGACCGUCUGGUGAAUUUCACCCAGGAUCCCAGACCGUCUGGUGAAUUUCACCCAGGACCCCAGACCGUCUGGUGAAGGGCACCCAGGAUCCCCUCCCUCUUUGUCAUCUGUCCCCCACAUUAUAGACAGUUUG